GGUCCGACGACCACUCUGAGCCCCCAUCUCUCCUUGAGUUAUGGACAGCUCUGAAUAUGGUGAUAGAAGUUGUGGCAGUCAUAGGGAAAUUAUUUGUCUUGACAAUGUUGGAGAAGGGGAAGCUAUACGUGCUAACUCUAAUGGCGAAGAAGCAGACAAACAUGAGGAGUCUUCUGAUGUUCUAGGACAUGAGGAAGUGACUAAAGAAUUAUUGGGGCAGGUUGUCAAUAGUGAGGAGGAGGCUUACAACUUGUAUCGUGACUAUGGGCAUCGCAUGGGUUUUAGUGUGCGAAAGGGAAAGCAAUAUUACUGGAUAGGGACUAAAAAAAUUCGCACAAAGGACUACUACUGCUCAAAAGAAGGGCUUAAGAAUGAUGAAUAUCUUGGUGAGUCAAGUUUUAACAAGCCAGAUACAAGAACUGGUUGUAAAGCCAUGAUCCGCUUUACGGUUGAUGAGGAGGGGCAAUGGAAGGUCACGAAGAUGGUCGAUGAGCAUAAUCAUGACUUGGCCAAGCCCGAAGAAAGGCAUUUAUUAAGAUCCAUGCGGUCACUUAUAGCUGGAAAAGCUAGUGUACUAGAUUCAAUGGGGAAUGCUGGAAUUCGAAUGGUUAGUACCUAUUCCUAUAUGGUUGAAGAAAGUAGUGGUGCUGAAAAUUUGGAAUUUACUAAGCAGAAUUGUGAGGACUAUAUUAACAAGCAUAAGCUAAUGCUAAUCGAGGCAAAAGACUCUCAAAGCUUAGUAAAGCAUUUCAAGCAUAGAGCUAAUCAAGAAGGCAUGUUUUAUUGGGAUGUGCAACUUAAUCAAGAAGGUCGGCCUUGCAAUUUUUUUUGGAGAGAUGGUAGAUCAAGAGUUGAUUAUGAUUGUUUUGGUGAUGUUGUUGUGUUUGACACUACUUAUCGCACAGAUAAAUAUAAUCUUAUUUGUGCACCAUUUGUUGGAGUUAAUCAUCAUCGACAGAACGUGAUGUUUGGAUGUGCAUUCUUGUUUGAUGAGACAACAACAUCCUUUAUAUGGCUUUUUAAGUCUUUUCUAGAGUCAAUGGAUGAUCGACCUCCUAAAACAAUCUUUACCGACCAAGAUCAUGCCAUGGCAAAUGCAAUUGCAGAGGUGUUUCCCAAUACACAACAUUGCUUAUGCUUGUGGCACAUAUAUAAGAAUGCUCCCUCUCAUUUGAGUAGUCUCAAUUCUGAUCAGAAUUUUCAUGAAUUGUUCGACAAAUGUCAAGGGUGUGAUUAUGAAGAAGAAUUUGAAGAAACAUGGGGCAAAAUGAUUUCCGAGUACGAUGCACAAGACAACAAAUGGCUUAAUAAUCUAUAUAAGUUCCGUCGGAAGUGGUGUACAGCUUUUAACAAAGAUACUUUUGAUGGUGGGAUUAAAUCAUCUCAAAAGAGUGAUUUGACUGAUAGUGUUUUGAAUGCAAUAGCCGACAAAUCAACUUCUCUCACAAAGUUUGUAGUUGCAUUGGAGAAAUUGGUUAAUGGUUGGCGAAGAGACGAAUCUAAAGAGGACUUCUGUUGUAAUCAGAGUGCUCCUACCUGUAUUGUUGAACAUAGUGAAAUUUUGAAGCAUGCUUCCAAAGUGUUUACGCACAAGAUUUACAAAUUAUUUGAGGAAGAGUAUCUUGAUGGGUGUGGUGCAACAUCAUUAUGUAAAGAAAUUUUACUUUGUGCAACUUCGUACAAAUUUGAGUUGAUGAUGCAAAGGAGUUCAAAAGUUUGGACAGUCCUACUUGACACAUCUACAAUGGAGAUCAGUUGCAGUUGUGGAAAAUUUGAGAGAAUGGGUUUACUUUGUUCACAUGUACUAAAAGCCUUUAUCAUUAAGAAUGUUCAAAGAAUCCCUGAACGGUACAUUUUGAAACGGUGGACGAAAGAUGCGAGAAAAAGAGUGUAUAGGCUCAAUGAAGAGGGACCAUCAAAAAAGAAGGGCACUAAGGUUGAGUUAGUAUAUCAUAAUCAAGCAAUGCGGUAUGCCUAUAACCUGGUUAUGAAAAGCCAGGGGCAUGAGGGAGCUAGGAAAAUUCUGUGGGAUACUUUUGACCUGGGAGAUGCAAAACUCGAAAAAUUCUUUGAUAGGUUAAGCUUGGACGCCCAUUCAACAGUCAAAAGUAAUCAAGCAAAUGAUUAUGAUGAGGCUGAAAUGGUUGAUGAUGAUGAUGAAGAAUAAGAAUACCCUGGGUUAGACCCUUCUUAUGUCAGACCUGAAGGAGUAUCCACAAAGAGGCUUAAAGGGAAUCAUGAAUAGUUACUUCGCAUGCAGGGCACAGUAUCUGCUCAAGAGGAAACUGAUAUUUGGAGUGGAUUUCACAUGGACCACAUCAUUGGAUGACUCAAGUUUACAGGGAGGUUUUAAAACAGGGAAGGUAAAAUGUAGUGGUGGGGUUGAUAUGAGCUUCUUAAAAAUCGAACCUUCCACAGAAUGUGCUGCUCUUGUAAUUCUGCAUUCUGGUAUUCUGAAUGUUGUCCAUGUGGAUUUUGAUGUUGCCAAACUACAAAUUCGUAUGUUGCUGGUUUUCUUGCUUUUAGAGGGGUCAUGCUCUCGGUGUGAAGGAAGGCAGAGCCCUAAGAGAACAUCUCUCUUCUUUGGUGAAAUAAUUCUGUUCAGCAUUAGUUGGUUCAAGAUCAUGGUACUCAUUGAGGACAUUAUUUAUAGAAGAAUGAUUUGGUGAUGUAUUAGGCUUCCAAAGAAAGCUGAUGAAUGCUUAAGAGGGGCACUCAGGUGGUGUGAGUUAACAUUGCAAAGUUUCAGCCAUGAAAGCACCUUUUCUCCUGCUGCUGCUUCUAUUUAUGAUGAUGUUAGCAAUCACACCUGUCUUUAGCUCGUCAAGGGGGGCGUCACAGUUGUGGUUUGCAUCAGCACCUCGAGCAUCUUCUAAUGCCGACCUGCCUCAAGAUGGAGAGACUUGGAUGCAGGAAUAUAUCUGGGAAGAUGAUUUGUUGUGGUUUGCAUCAGCACCUCGAGCAUCUUCUAAUGCUGACCUGCCUCAAGAUGGUGAGACUUGGAUGCAGGAAUAUAUCUGGGAAGAUGAUUUGUGGGACCAGAAAGAAGAUUAUGGCUUCAUGGAUCUGGUGCCGGUUAGGUAUCCUGGUGAACACGCUGCUCCUAUUCCCCAUGCCUGACCUUGCUUGUUCUAUUGAUCUUCUUUUACUGAAUAUUAAUGCUUCACAAUUAAAGUAAACAUAUCUUCUCUGUUUGUACACGGAUCAUGCUGUUUCCAAUAUCUUGUAUCCAAAAAUUACAUAUCCAUAGUAUAAAAAGAUUAUGAGAAGCUAAA